CUCGUCCUUACUCUUUUCUUUUACUUUCCUUUUUCUUCCCAUCUUUGCAUCUAACUUUUGCUUGGUUUCUAUUUCUCCUUGUCUGUCUCCAUCUCCCAGCCUUAAUCGCCCCCUCUCCUAACUUCUCUAUUCUUUCUUCCUCUCUACUUUUCUCUGCCUGUCUUGGUUCUUUCUGACUUUACUCCUGUCUUUCUAACUCAGUGUCCCCCCUUCUCUCUCUCUCUCUCUCUCAUCUUUUCCAGUAACUGGAACAGACUGGAAAUACUCUUCCUGGGGCCCAAGCAAACAUCGUCCCCUCACUUCCUUGGCUAAGAAACACAGUGUGUCUUAAGAGAUAGAAAGUGGUUUGGUUCAUCCGUCUCUGGGUUGGAAGCUGCACCGUCUCCUCUUGGCUUCUCCAAAGUCACCUCUUCCUGGAGUUGGCCCCGUCCCCGCUCCCUCUGCAUCUUGCCUGCUCCAGCUGCUUCCCAGGUCUGGAGCCCAGGGUGAGGCGCUGCAUUCCAAGCUUCUGCCUUCCUCCAGCAGGACAGAGCUUUCCUGUAACACAUAUUUCUCUGUCCUCUGACAUCCUUCUAAAUUAUUGAUCAGGGCGAUUCAGUGCAAGAGUCUGAAGUGUGUGAGAGAGAGGAUUGUCAAAGUUGUCUCGCUCGGGGAAGCAGUAUUUUUAGUACAGAGACUCACUUUGGCGCCAGUUGGUUUAUGCUGUUUCUAGAGCAUCAAUCGUUAUACCCUUCAUCCGUGCUCUCUCACCUCCUGUAAAUAAGUAUGUUUUUGGUAGAGGUGAAGUGAAAAGAGAACACCCUCUGUGUUAGUCUCAUUAGCACCUACCUGUCACCAGAGAUCACCGCCCUGCAAAAUGGCAAAUUUGUCCACGGUGACUUAGACGAGUUAGAAGGGAAGUGGAGAAGGUAGGAAUGAAGGUGUGUGUUAGGGAGGGCACUUUUACACAUCUGUGAAGGGUUUUUCCUCUCUCCCAGGAAAAGUAACUAAUUGUGGUUUCCUAAUUUCAAACCAAUCUAUCUUCAAUGCUGUCUUCAGUGUGUGCUUUAUCCAAUUAUAACAAAAAAGAAGAAAGAAAGAAAAUGAAAAUACUUAGUCUAGCAGAAAUGAAUGCACAAGGAAGGGGCUGGAAAUUUUCCCUUUCCUUUUUUUUCUGACCCAGCAUCAGCAAGAUGCUGGCUAGAGCUGACUUCUGCCCCAGGCCCUUUGACCAUCCCACAUCUUGCUUUCUUCACCAUCUUCUCAGAUUUUCAGCUAAGACAGAUAAGGAUGUAAGUGGCCCAGCAGUGAUUGGUGCCAGGAUUUUAUCUGAUGGGUUUGGGGGCUGGGGACAAAGUAUUUUGAGAGGGUAAAAGGAAAACAAAAAAAUGACAACACCCUCCCAGCCUUACAGAGAGAGGGUGACGCUUGGACAGGCGAACAUACUUCUGCGGUUUGCUGUCGUUAGAUUCUUUCCAUUGUUAUUGGUGUUAUUGAUGCCAGGGUUGUAGGGACAUUGGGGUCUCACUCCCACGGGCAGAGGGGACAGGGAGGUCUGUCAGGAAGAGGGCAUGGCAAAUUCAAUGACCGCUACUGUCAGGAAGGUUGACAGGUCAAAGAAAGAUGUCUCUUCCAAAUCUGCUGAACUAACUGUCCCCUUCUAGCCUCAGACACGUUUUCUCAAUUUGAGCACAAUAUCCAUUACUAUUUCCCGUACUGAGUUUCAGUUAAACAGGGCGAGAGCCCAAGGUUUGCUGGUGUGGAGGCUUCUUCAUCUGUUUCCAAGCAGGACACAGAAGUUGUACUUGUGUUUUCCCUCUCAGUUCUUUCUGCUUUCUUCUAGAGCUUCACCUCUGCUCUUGCACACGGCUCACCUGCGUCCCUUCGUGGACUGUUUGCAGCUAGGUUAAAGGAAAGAGGAGAGGUGAUAGCCCAGGCAGAGAUGUAGCUCACCUUGAGUGCCACAGCUUCAGAGAGGGCUUUGCCUAUUCUGAGUGGCACAGGAAUUGGGGAGGUGCUCCUAUGAAGGGUUCCAGAUUUCCCUGUCUCAUUAAACACUGAUAAAAAUCCUUCCCCCCCCUUAAAAAAAUCUAAACUUUCAUGCAAUUAUCUUCUUGCAUUCCUGGGACCCAGGAUGGUGGUCCUGUUUCUCUGAUGUGUGGCAGAUGGGGUGUCGGGGUGGAAAACCUGCUGCAGAGACUAGGAUAUGGGUCUUGGAUUCAGGAUCUGGAGUCCAGGCCAGGCCUGCCACCGAUCAGCUGUCCUAGAGCCAGGAGAACUCUGGCCAUAGCUGCUUCUCAUAAACUUGGAACUAAGCCUUAGCCCUUCCACUCCCUCAGCCGCCUGUGAUCACAGAUCCAUACACCCAGGUAACAAGCCGACGUGCAGCUGCACCUUUGUGCCAGUGUUAGUUACCUAACCACAUGAACAGCCUCCUCCCCAUGUCACCAAAAGGAGCUGGAGGCCUCAACAACGUGACUUUAUUUCCAGUUGUGGUUUGUCCCUCCCAACCCAACCAUCCCUGCCUCCCAAUAAGACAUAAUAAAUUCUGCAUGUUUUAAGUGUCCUAAGCCCGGUGGGAGAUCUAGAGUGUAGCCAGUGGUCACUGGAGAGUUGGUUCUCUCCUCAAGUCCCAGGCUGAGGUGAAGAGAAAGGAAAGAAAAGGAGGCAGAUAACAUAGGAGACAAGCGAGGGUGCUUCUGCUGCUGGUCCCCAAGUCUCCACUCAUUUCCUCCCCAAGUCAAAACCCUCCGGCAGGCGGAGAGGAGUCUCCAGGACCAGGACCCUACCCUCGCCUUCCCUCCAUGGAGCCUUCCUCUUUUCCCCUGCGAAUGGCAGAAUCUGGGCACCAGGAAGGAGUUGGGAGUGAGGCACAGCCCGGGCGCCCGAUACAGACGUGGACGCGCCUCGGUGCGGAUCCAGGCCUGGCCGAGCAAGGAACCCGAAAAGACGCUCCCCGCCGCGGACUGCGCUCCCGUGGCAGCACGCAAGGGGACAGGGCCCGGAUCUUGACCACACUGACCCGCGGGGGAACAAGGGGGUCUGGGACCCACUGGCCUUCGCCGGCCCUGGGUCCCGACGAGGUCCCGACGCGCCUGGGAGCCGGCGAACGGCGGCAGGUAACCCGGCGCUGGUUACCUGCCUUCGCUCUCCAGCUACCGGGGCGGGGCGAGGCGGGAUCCCCGGGCGCGAUCGCGGGAAGCGCGGCCCAGUCCGCGAAGCGCACGUCUUCGCUUUUUGAGACCGAAACCCCAGAUUGCAGGCAUUCAAGGAGAAGCCGCUCACCGGCCCCUGACGUCCCGAGAUGUGUUUUUCAGCACGAGUCCUAUCGCCCCCUCCCUCUUCUUGCAAAGAACAAAUCGGGGGUGGAUGGGAAAGACCCGGGGUGGGGGCUGUACCAAAAAUGAAAGAGAAAUAUAGAGGAUGCCAGACUAGGUCUCUGACUCCCCAAAGUGUUGGGACAGCAAUCGAUCGCACGGAAAGGGCCUCCCGGGAGAAAAACAGGAGCUCCGGAGGACCAAGUGGCGGGGAGAGAACCCUGGAGACAGGCGCGGGGCGGGUGGAGGGAGCGUUCUUCUCUCCACCGCUGGGGUGUGUUUUUACGUUUUCUUAGCAGCCAGAUCCAUAAACAGGUCAGCCCUGCGCUGCAAGCCCAGGGAGCUUCAGUCGGUCUCCAGCUUCUAGAACAGACGCCGGUCUUUCCCACCACUCGGCCCUGCCAGCUAAGCGCGCAGGGGGGCGGGGAGGAGGGGACACGGCCUCCCACUUCUGACUUGCAGGGUUUGCUUUUGAAAUGGCUCCUCAUGUCUUCAGA